GACGAACGCUGGCGGCGUGCUUAACACAUGCAAGUCGAACGGAAAAGGCCCGGCUUUGGGGGGGUGCCGGAGGGGGGAACGGGGGAGUACAACGGGAGUAACUUGCCCUGGCCUUGGGGUUAACUUAAGGAAACUGGGCCAAAAACCGGAAAGGAGUCCUUGCGGAAGGGGGGGGGUGGGAAGGUUUCGGCGGUGGGGGAUGGACUCGCGGCUUAUCAGCUUGUUGGUGGGGUAGUGGCUUACCAAGGCUUUGACGGGUAGCCGGCCUGAGAGGGUGACCGGCCACAUUGGGACUGAGAUACGGCCCAGACUCCUACGGGAGGCAGCAGUGGGGAAUAUUGCACAAUGGGCGGAAGCCUGAUGCAGCAACGCCGCGUGCGGGAUGACGGCCUUCGGGUUGUAAACCGCUUUCGCCUGUGACGAAGCGUGAGUGACGGUAAUGGGUAAAGAAGCACCGGCUAACUACGUG
rnacentral:rRNA from 1 species